CAGGCCCGUUCCACUCGGUCGUGAGAUGUUGGGUUAAGUCCCGCAACGAGCGCAACCCUUUUCCUUACUUGCCAUCGGGUCAUGCCGGGAACUUUAAGGAUACUGCCAGUGACAAACUGGAGGAAGGCGGGGACGACGUCAAGUCAUCAUGGCCCUUACGACCAGGGCUACACACGUGCUACAAUGGUCGGUACAAAGGGUUGCUACCUAGCGAUAGGAUGCUAAUCUCAAAAAGCCGAUCGUAGUCCGGAUUGGAGUCUGCAACUCGACUCCAUGAAGUCGGAAUCGCUAGUAAUCGCGGAUCAGAAUGCCGCGGUGAAUACGUUCCCGGGCCUUGUACACACCGCCCGUCACACCAUGGGAGUUUGUUGCACCAGAAGUAGGUAGUCUAACCGCAAGGAGGACGCUACCACAAGG
rnacentral:rRNA from 1 species